CUUAAACUAAUAUAUACAAAAUAUUAUAUUUAUGUGUAUAUUAUUAUAUAUUAAAUAAAUAUAUUCUAUAAAUUUUUAAAUUAAAGUAAUUUUAAAAUAUAUAAAAGAUUUACUUAUCGUUUAUAGACGGGCUUACAAAAGGAUUUAGAUAGUUGGUAAGGUAAUAGCUUACCAAGUCGAUUAUCCUUAGCUGGUUUGGGAGAAUGAUCAGCCACAUUGGGUCUGAAACAACACCCAACUAUCGAAGUGAUGGCAGCAGUGGGGAAUCUUGGACAAUAUGCUAACGCAUGAUCCAGCAAUAUCAAAGAAAUGAAGAAGAUUCAGGAGAUCGUAAAGUUUUUCACAAUAAGGGAACAAAUUAAUACAUUGAUUAACUGACAUUUACUUUUAUUGUUAAGCUCCGACUAACUUCGUGCCAGCAGUCG
rnacentral:rRNA from 1 species